rnacentral:lncRNA from 1 species
AGAACGGGUUGUCGGAUUUGCUCCCUGCCACCUCUUUCCUCGAUCCUGUUUGACGCUGGGGAGAGCCCUAAUACAGGCGCAGGAGUCGAGGGCGAUUGAAGCUAUCGAUCUCUCGUUGCAGAGAUCUAACAAUUCUGAAGCUCAUAGUUCUCUUAUUGUGUGCCACGAUGCUCACUCAUCACCCCUAAAUGCCGCAGACCUCGUCAGCUCUCCAUCAAGAUCUUUAUGCCCAGGUAUCAAUGAGAACGGACCAUGUUCGCAAUCUAGACAGCAUUUUGUUUUUAUGUUUGACAAAGUUUGUUCUAAUGAUCCGUAGAAGGAAAGGAGCAUCUUCGGUCUAGCCACCGUCCUCGAAUAAUGAGUCUUCGGUCAAGAAACUGGAAUUUGAAGCGAUUUCUCGG